GGAAAUGUAAUGUGACAUAAUAUAGACGACAAGCACGGGGAAAAUGGCUCAGUCCGGAGUGGAAAAUCAAUUUGCCAGGGCCAUGAUAAGACUGGAACAUCACUUCCAUAUUUCCUGAGAAUCCAUUCUGAUACCCACAGUAGUGUCUGCAGCCAGAGCCUGAGAACCGUGGAUGGGUAUGCCUGAUGGCAGUUUACAACGGAAAAGACAGCUAUCACCCAGCAAACCAUCAGAGGAGGAACAGAGCGAAGGAUGAUCUUUUAUGUUUUGAAAUGGACCGAAGAGACAUUUAAUGUGUCAAGAGCUUCACUUCGAGAAGACCAAUAUUUCUAUUUCAUCCACUUGUUUCCAGGAUGACUUCUAGUAAAUAUUGCUUGCAGAUGCUGAGUGAACGUGCGUGCUGCACCAGAUCAUGAGGACGUGGAAGAAGUGCCGCACGGACAACUGGCUCUGAUGUUCUUCUGCGGUCAGGACAGCCAUCCCAGGACAGUGGAGCGUGGUGUCAUCAUGCCUCACAGACUUCCUGGCCGGGGGGUCCAGCUCCACAGACAGCUGUCGAAUGGAGAUCUGGGAUCGGAACUAGACUCCAGCUUAUUUUUGAGGAAGAUUAGCCCUGAGCUAACAUCUGCUACCAAUCUUCCUCUUUUUGCUGAGGAAGGCUGGCCCUGAACUAACGUCUGUGCCCAUCUUCCUCUACUUUAUAUGUGGGACGCCUGCCACAGCAUGGCUUGCCAAGUGGUGCCAUGUCCACACCUGGAAUCCGAACUGGCGAACCCCGGGCCACCGAAGUGGAACGUGCAAACUUAACUGCUACGCCACCAGGCUGGCCCAGACUACAGGUUUGAACGCCACCCGUUAUUUACUGCGGGCACACAAGAUCUUGGAUGGUUAUUCACCCUCUCUGAGCUACUGUAUUCUCAUCUGUAAAAUGGGCAUAUUAAGAAUAUAGUCCUCAUGGGGUUGUUGGGCAAGUCAACUGAAAGAAAUGCAUCCAUGCAAUAAUGGGUGAUAUGUAUUGAAUGCCACCUGUCUGCCAAUCAAUGGGCUAAACCUUAUGCACCUAUCUCAUUCCAUCCUCAACAGCCCAAGGAGGUGGACGUUCUUAUCGGCCUCAUUUUAGAGAUGUGGAAACUGAAACUCAGGGGGGCAAAAUCGCUUUUGCAGGUGGCCCAGCUGCUAAUGUGGAGCCAGGCCAGGCUCCCCUGCCUGCAGGGCCCACAUGCUGUGCUGCCCUCAGCACCGUGCCUGGUACUAACCUUAUAAAAUGUGACUGAACAGGCCUGCUGCAGAGGGUUCUUGCAAGGUCAAAGUGAGACAACCCCUGUGAAAUUGCUGAUACCCACCAGGUCCUUAAAAAUAUUUGUUGAAUGGCUGAAUGAAUGUUGGUGAGCUCAUCAAAUACUUGUCAGAUUCUUCAGCUGCUUUCUCUAAUCAUUAACUCUAGAAGUUUCUUUAUGAUAGGGAUAACUAUGAUGAAAAAUCUCCCUAAUCCUGCGCUAUGAAACAUUAGGUCUAACAAACGAAUUACAAGGGAGUUUGAUCUUCUUUGCAUUCUGACCUCCUUUAUGUUAUAGCA
ensembl:lncRNA